AGGAUCAACGCUGGCGGCGUGCCUAACACAUGCAAGUCGAACGAGAAAGUGGAGCAAUCCAUGAGUAAAGUGGCGCACGGGUGAGUAACACGUGACUAACCUACCCUUGAGUGGGGGAUAACCUAGAGAAAUCUGGGCUAAUACCGCAUAAUACCUUCGGGUCAAAGGAGCAAUUCGCUUAAGGAGGGGGUCGCGGCCGAUUAGUUAGUUGGCGGGGUAAUGGCCCACCAAGACUGUGAUCGGUAUCCGGCCUGAGAGGGGCGCGACGGAACGACGACCUAGGAACGUGAAACACGGUCCAGACUCCUACGGGAGGCAGCAGUGGGAAUUUGCGCAAUGGGGGAAACCCUGACGCAGCAACGCCGCGUGGAGGAUGAAGCCCCUUGGGGCGUAAACUCCUUUCGAUCGGGAAGAUAAUGACGGUACCGAGAGAAGAAGCCCCGGCUAACUUCGUGCCAGCAGCCGC
rnacentral:rRNA from 1 species